AUCCUUUUGUGGUUCAUAAACGUGAUGAAUGGGUGAUCACGUGCUCGUGUGAGGUGUGCCUCCCUCCAACCUUGUUACAACGUUGGCACAUUACCCGUCUGCCC
rnacentral:snoRNA from 1 species